rnacentral:ncRNA from 1 species
UCGCUCCAUCGCGCCGAUUUGAGACUCAGCUUGCGGGCGCGCAAUAAAUGCGGCUAAAGCGGGCGAGUUGAAUUUCCA